GCCUCCGUGGAUCAGCGGUAAAUCACCCUGGCAUUAUGAACAGAGCGCUAUACAGUUUGCGGGGAGACGUGGGUUCGAGUCCCGCCGGAGGCA